CCUACGGGUGGCAGCAGUGGGGAAUAUUGCGCAAUGGGCGAAAGCCUGACGCAGCGACGCCGCGUGAGGGAUGAAGGCCUUCGGAUCGUAAACCUCUGUCAGCAGGGAAGAACGGUCACUGUGCUAAGCAGCAGUGAAUUUACGGUACCUGCAAAGGAAGCACCGGCUAACUCCGUGCCAGCCGCCGAGGUAAGACGGAGGGUGCGAGCGUUAAUCGGAAUUACUGGGGGUAAAGGGCGCGUAGGCGGGAUAGUAAGUCAAAUGUGAAAUCCUAUGGCUUAACCAUUGAACUGCAUUUGAGACUGUUGGUCUAGAGGAUGGGUGAGGUAGGUGGAAUUCGUGGUGUAGCGGUGAAAUGCGUAGAGAUCA
rnacentral:rRNA from 1 species